GUGCCAGCCGCCGCGGUAAUACGGAGGGUGCGAGCGUUAAUCGGAAUUACUGGGCGUAAAGCGCGCGUAGGCGGUUUGUUAAGUCAGCUGUGAAAGCCCCGGGCUCAACCUGGGAACUGCAGUUGAUACUGUCCGACUAGAGUACGAGAGAGGGAGGUAGAAUUCCAUGUGUAGCGGUGAAAUGCGUAGAUAUAUGGAGGAAUACCAGUGGCGAAGGCGGCCUCCUGGCUCGAUACUGACGCUGAGGUGCGAAAGCGUGGGGAUCAAACAGGAUUAGAAACCCCCGUAGUCC
rnacentral:rRNA from 1 species